GACGUAGGGCGCGAGCGUUGUCCGGAUUUAUUGGGCGUAAAGAGCGUGUAGGCGGCUUUACAGGUCCGUUGUGAAAACUCGAGGCUCAACCUCGAGACGCCGGUGGAAACCGUAAGGCUAGAGUCCGGAAGAGGAGAGUGGAAUUCCUGGUGUAGCGGUGAAAUGCGUAGAUAUUGGGAGGAACACCAGUGGCGAAGGCGGCUCACUGGACCGGUUCUGACGCUGAGGCGCGAAAGCGUGGGGAGCAAACGGG
rnacentral:rRNA from 1 species